GGGAUGAAUGAGAAGGGGGAGCUGUAUGGAUCAGUAAGUACUGGAGGGACUUCAUCCAGCUUUAUCUCCAUGUUUGAUUUGAACAGCUGUCUUUUCUCUGGAUUAAAAAGGGCCAGAAAUGCAACUGAGUCUGUUUGGAAGGAAAAACUAACCCAAGAGUGUGUAUUCAGAGAACAGUUCGAAGAAAACUGGUAUAAUACGUACUCAUCAAACCUAUAUAAGCACGUGGACACUGGAAGGCGAUACUAUGUUGCAUUAAAUAAAGAUGGGACCCCGAGAGAAGGGACUAGGACUAAACGGCACCAGAAAUUCACACAUUUUUUACCUAGACCAGUGGACCCCGACAAAGUACCUGAACUGUAUAAGGAUAUUCUAAGCCAAAGUUGACAAAGACAGUUUCUUCACUUGAGCCCUUAAAAAAGUAACCACUAUAAAGGUUUCACGCGGUGGGUUCUUAUUGAUUCGCUGUGUCAUCACAUCAGCUCCACUGUUGCCAAACUUUGUCGCAUGCAUAAUGUAUGAUGGAGGCUUGGAUGGGAAUAUGCUGAUUUUGUUCUGCACUUAAAGGCUUCUCCUCCUGGAGGGCUGCCUAGGGCCACUUGCUUGAUUUAUCAUGAGAGAAGAGGAGAGAGAGAGAGACUGAGCGCUAGGAGUGUGUGUAUGUGUGUGUGUGUGUGUGUGUGUGUGUGUGUAUGUGUGUAGCGGGAGAUGUGGGCGGAGCGAGAGCAAAAGGACUGCGGCCUGAUGCAUGCUGGAAAAAGACACGCUUUUCAUUUCUGAUCAG
rnacentral:lncRNA from 10 species